UACGGAGGGUGCAAGCGUUAUCCGGAUUCACUGGGUUUAAAGGGUGCGUAGGCGGGUAAGUAAGUCCGUGGUGAAAUCUCUGAGCUUAACUCAGAAACUGCCGUGGAUACUAUUUGCCUUGAAUAUUGUGGAGGUGAGCGGAAUAUGUCAUGUAGCGGUGAAAUGCGUAGAUAUCAAGAGGAACACCUGAGGUGAAGACGGGUUGCUGGGCCGACACUGACGCUGAGUGCGCGAAAGCCAGGGGAGCAAACGGG
rnacentral:rRNA from 1 species